UACGUAGGGGGGCUAGCGUUGUCCGGAAUCAUUGGGCGUAAAGCGCGUGUAGGCGGCCCGGUAAGUCCGCUGUGAAAGUCGGGGGCUCAACCCUCGGAAGCCGGUGGAUACUGUCGGGCUCGAGUACGGAAGAGGCGAGUGGAAUUCCUGGUGUAGCGGUGAAAUGCGCAGAUAUCAGGAGGAACACCUAUUGCGAAGGCAGCUCGCUGGGACGUUACUGACGCUGAGACGCGAAAGCGUGGGGAGCGAACAGGA
rnacentral:rRNA from 1 species